AGAACGAACGCUGGCGGCAGGCCUAACACAUGCAAGUCGAACGCCCUGGCAACAGGGAGUGGCAGACGGGUGAGUAACGCGUGGGAAUCUACCUUGUGGUACGGAACAACCAAGGGAAACUUUGGCUAAUACCGUAUGAGCCCUUCGGGGGAAAGAUUUAUCGCCAUAAGAUGAGCCCGCGUAGGAUUAGCUAGUUGGUGAGGUAAUGGCUCACCAAGGCGACGAUCCUUAGCUGGUCUGAGAGGAUGACCAGCCACACUGGGACUGAGACACGGCCCAGACUCCUACGGGAGGCAGCAGUGGGGAAUAUUGGACAAUGGGCGCAAGCCUGAUCCAGCCAUGCCGCGUGUGUGAUGAAGGCCUUAGGGUUGUAAAGCACUUUCGCCGAUGAAGAUAAUGACUGUAGUCGGAGAAGAAGCCCCGGCUAACUCGCGCCAGCAGCCGC
rnacentral:rRNA from 1 species